GAGACACCCUUCUGGGGCAAGACUUGCUUCAGUGGGGCUUUGGUACUGAGUCUGCCCCCUGAGUGUGUCCCU
rnacentral:pre_miRNA from 1 species